GCAUGCCGGUGCUAUACUGCAGUCGAGCGAAUCUGAUGGGAGCUUGCUCCUUGUCAGAUUAGCGGCGGACGGGUGAGUAACACGUGGGUAACCUGCCUGUAAAACGGGGAUAACUCCGGGAAACCGGGGCUAAUACCGGAUAACUUUUUCCUUCGCAUGAAGGAAAAUUGAAAGGGGGCACUAGCUACCACUUACAGAUGGACCCGCGGCGCAUUAGCUAGUUGGGGAGGUAACGGCUCACCAAGGCGACGAUGCGUAGCCGACUUGAGAGGGGGAUCGGCCACACUGGGACUGAAACACGGCCCAAACUCCUACGGGAGGCAGCAGUAGGGAAUCUUCCGCAAUGGACGAAAGUCUGACGGAGCAACGCCGCGUGAGUGAUGAAGGUUUUCGGAUCGUAAAACUCUGUUGUUAGGGAAGAACAAGUAUCGUUCGAAUAGGGCGGUACCUUGACGGUACCUAACCAAAAAGCCACGGCUAACUACGUGCCAGCAGCCGCGGUAAUACGUAGGUGGCAAGCGUUGUCCGGAAUUAUUGGGCGUAAAGCGCGCGCAGGCGGUUUCUUAAGUCUGAUGUGAAAGCCCACGGCUCAACCGUGGAGGGUCAUUGGAAACUGGGAGACUUGAGUGCAGAAGAGAAGAGCGGAAUUCCACGUGUAGCGGUGAAAUGCGUAGAGAAUGUGGAGGAACACCAGUGGCGAAGGCGGCUCUUUUGGUCUGUAACUGACGCUGAGGCGCGAAAGCGUGGGGAGCGAACAGGAUUAGAUACCCUGGUAGUCCACGCCGUAAACGAUGAGUGCUAAGUGUUAGAGGGUUUCCGCCCUUUAGUGCUGCAGCUAACGCAUUAAGCACUCCGCCUGGGGAGUACGGGCCGCAAGGCUGAACUCAAAGGAAUUUGACGGGGGCCCGCACAAGCGGUGGAGCAUUGUGUUUAAUUUCGAAGCAACGCGAGACCUUACCAGGUCUUGACAUCCUCUUGACCUCCCUAGAGAUAGGGAUUUCCCUUCGGGACAGAGUGAC
rnacentral:rRNA from 1 species